ensembl:lncRNA
CGUGUCCGUUUGUUGCAUGGGGGGUUGGGAAGGCUGAUGACGACAGGCACCUCUAACAUCCAGCUGUCUCUGAGUUCUGUCAGGACUCUGCUGGCAUUCAAACAGCUGGAGCUGGAUGCUUUCAAAUCUGUUUGUUGACAAGCUGUCAGGAAAAGCCCAAUGCCGAAGCGGACUGCACACUAUCUCCAAACGGGCUUGGACAGACAGAGAGAUAGAUGCUGGGUGAGAGAGAGAAAGAGAAAGAGAGAGAGCGAGAGAGAGAGAGAGAGGGAGGCAUCAGGAGACAGAGAGGGAGAGUGAAUGUUAAAAAUGAAAGGGCUGCAAAACAUCCAAUCAAAAGAAAAGGUGAUGAUUGCCAUUCCUCUAAGGUUUUCCUGGACAAAAUGUUGCUGUGUUUAUCUCCAGGCUGGUACCUAUUAUUGCCAGGGCCAACUUUUGAAUACUAAUCAUCUGGCAGAUAGGCCGCUUUGUUGCUGUUUCUGCUGCUGCUGCUGCUGCCGUCUUUGGCUUCUUGAAAUGAUUUGCAUGCAGAUAAAGAAGAUUCCUGUUUACAUUAUUGUACAAAAAAAAAAUGCUGUUUAUUCUCCUAACCACACAGAGACAUUCUGAAGCUCACAAUGCUGCUAUUUUUUUUCUUAAAUAACAUUCCCUUGCUUCAGAUAAAAAGUAAUGAAAUUGCAGUAGCAGCUUCAAAGUUUCUAUUUUUUUACUUGUGUAUAUUUCAGCCUUUUAGAUUGCAGUGUUCUAGCACGUCUUCUGUGAAAUAUAUUACCCUGCACAGUGUCAGCAUGGUCAUGAGACUCUUGAAAAAUACCCUGAGGGUCCAGCAAUGUUUUGGCAUCUUUGCCUAUUAAUGUGUUUUAAUGAUCAUGUGUUCUUGUGUGAUCAUCUGAAACCAUAAAAUGUUUUUAUUUCAUUUUUCAGGAGGCAUUUAUACACACAGAGCUAUGCAGACACCCACACUCAUACACACAAACACCUAUGCUCUCUCUCUCUCUCACACACACACACACACACACACUAAUGGUACCCUAUAGGGCAAUACCACUAUCAUGUUGAAAUGUGUUCCAGUGCUGUUCUGCCCUCCCUCUUCUCAGGUUAGAUGAAAGAGGCGAGUCUGGUAAUGUGUGUGUGUGUGUGUGUGUGUGUGUGUGUGUGUGUGUGUGUGAGUGUGAGUGUGUCCAUGAUAAUGUAGUGUAUACAGUAUAUGUACAUAUAACUCAGAGUGUAUAUUCAUGUGUGUGAGAGUUGUGUUGUGUACUGCAUGUAUGGGAAUGUGUGUUUUGUGAUAGAGGAGGAGUUGUGUCAUGUUUGCAUCUGUAUUUGAGCAUGCAUGCAUGUGUGUGUGUGUGUGUGUGUGUGUGUGUAUGUGUGUUCAUGUUCACAUUUCAUCUUUGCAGCAGCAGGACUACCCUUUACCUUGUUAUGCUGCCAGCUUGAGGCCUGUAGGCUUACCGCGAGAACACAGAGGACCCGGGGAGACACACAUACACACACACACACUCACACACACAUACACACAAUCACAUACACACACACACACUCACACACACACAUACACACACUCACACACACAUACACACACACUCACACACACAUACACACACACACACACACACACACACACACACACACACACACACACACACCAACACUACAGCGACAGAUAAGCUCGGCAGGCACCACCCCCUGGGAGACGGAUAGGGGACAGCUCGCUCACUGGCCGUGGCGAGACACACACACACUCACACUCACACACAUGAAGUCCCGUGAUAAUCUACCCCACCCGCAGGACAUGCGGCACGGGGUCCCACUCCGUCAUGGGCAUACGGCGUCGUAAUCCCGCGUUCAGUUGGGAUUACCGUCCCUCUCCCAGACUGGAUGAAAGGCACUGCGACGAUACGCAUCCCCUUCCAGUCAUGCUAAUCCUGCUUGCUCUCUCACACACUCGCAGGAAAUCUUGUCAUUGAACGAUGACAAAUGAAGACACCGGGCGUCAACGCCACAAAGCCGAUCACAAUCACACGGCCUGGACUGACUCUGCGUGCACAGUACCUGGAGCAGCCUGAUGAGAGCUCUACUUCAGAUUAUAAUCUCAUGACGUAAAAUAGCUUUCACUGAGAGUGAGGAAGUGAGAGAGCGAGAGAGAGAGAGAGAGACAGAAGAAGGGACAAAGUCAGACACAGUCACGUCGUUUUUCCCCCUUUUUUUCUGAAACAUGAAAACAGCUAGUCAGCGGGUACAAAAAUUAAUAUUUAGGUCAUAUGAAAAAUGAAUAAGGAUUCCUUAUUGAAUGAAACUCUGCAACCCCCCCCCCCCCCCUCCCAGUGCUUCAGAUGUGGACAUCCGAGCGAAGUUGGCAGAGGUGAAAAAGUGACGAUGCCAACUGAGCCCACUGCUAGCAUUUCCGCUUGCACUGUGAAAUAUUUGCCAGCUACCAGAAAAAGGAAGGAAAACGACAGGCAAAAAAAAUGAAUAAAUAAAUAACGCUCUGAAUUUUGCCCAUGUACAGAGAGG